UACUCUCACACUUCCGAUCUUUGGAUUGGGAGUGGUGGACUUGGGUGUUGCUGCUUUACUGUGGCUCGCCUCAAAUGGAGUAGUGCAACUCUUGGUUGGACAUAGUACGGCGUGAUAAGUGUCUUCGCCGGCACCUCACUAGAGGGUGGCUGAUCAGGAGCUCUGUGCUUCAAACCGUCUUCGGACAACAUCUGACA
rnacentral:misc_RNA from 1 species